GCGGGCUGUUGAGAGAGAAAGGAGGGUGUGUUGCUCUGAUCAGCAUCAUUACUUCUCUUUUAGCACUCUUUAGCACUUCUACGUAGCUACAUCACCUUACUCUUCUGAAGAUGGCUAGAAUAAAGAAGGGAGUGAAGCAGAGCCGACUGAACCUAAAAGCGGCAAGAGAAAAGAAGAAAAAGCAGACGCCGAGUGUUGAUGCCCGCGUGACCACAAGCAGUGAGUCACCACCACCACCACCACCCAGCAUGUCACCAUCACCAUCCAGCGUGAAGAGGAAGAACCUUUUGACAAAAGAAUCUGAUAUACCAGUGGUAACACAAGAAUAUGUCUUUUUGAAGAAACAAAGCUUAGAAGAACUUGCAUCGAAUGUGUGCUGCCCUGAGUGUUUUGAGAAGAUGAAGUGCAUAUUCACGAGAAAACAUGCAGACAGUAGCUUCAAAAUUGUGUGUACAAAGUGUUCAUAUAUAGCAAAAGACACUGCUGAAGACCACAAAAGUAAGGAAAAAGGAAUAUAUGAAAUAACAAUAAUGAUAGUGUAUGCAACACUAUCAAUACAACUCCCGAGGAGAUGCGAAAUGACAUCAUGUCUUCUUUUUACCACUGCUCCUCUACAGAUGAGAACCCCAAGCAUAACCUUUGCCCCAAAUCUGAAGAAUCCUGGUGCUUCUACCAAAAAGCUCUGUCAAAGGGCAACACUCCACCCAGCCAUUCCACUAUGAAGAUAAAAUUCUGGUUGGAUCCUGAAGGACUGAGGCUAGUAGAAGAUGUCUACAAAAGGCUAACAACUGAUGAUAUGAUGACGAGGUGCCUCAGAGGGAAGACUCAAAAUCCCAAUGAGUCAUUACACCACAGAAUAUGGCGCUACUGCUCAAAGCACAAAAAUGCCACGAAGGAAAUGCUGGACUUCGCAACUGCACAGGCGGUGUCCAACUUCAAUGGAGGAUAUCUUUCUAGCGACCUGUGCAGUAAGUUGGGAGUGGCCUUCACAGACAAGAACUACAAAUACCUUACAAAGGAAAACACCAAAAUGGACAGGCCGAUCAAGAAGAAGAUCAGAAGCAAACAGCUGCAAAAGGACCUGGAGGCAUAUGCAUCUGGUGCGCAUUAGCCAUGCAGCGACACUCCCAGAACUUCAGAGCCUCUUUUCUCAAAACAUAGAUACCAUGAUGAAACUUCGCCUCAUCAUUUACCAUAUGGUUACACACUUUGAGUAAAAUUUACAAAAGGCUA